AGAGUUUGAUCAUGGCUCAGAACGAACGCUGGCGGCGUGGAUAAGACAUGCAAGUCGAGCGAGAUUUUUUCCUGUAGCAAUACAGGGAAAAGUCUAGCGGCGAACGGGUGCUUAACACGUGGGCAACCUGCCGAGAAGUGGGGAAUAGCUCGCCGAAAGGCGAAUUAAUACCGCAUGUGAUUAGAGUGGACAUCCAUUCAAAAUCAAAGUCGGGGCAACCUGACGCUUCUUGAGGGGCCCGCGGCCUAUCAGCUAGUUGGUGAGGUAACGGCCCACCAAGGCUUAGACGGGUAGCUGGUCUGAGAGGACGACCAGCCACACUGGGACUGAGACACGGCCCAGACACCUACGGGUGGCAGCAGUCGAGAAUUUUUCUCAAUGGGGGAAACCCUGAAGGAGCGACGCCGCGUGGAGGAUGAAGGUCUUCGGGUUGUAAACUCCUGUCAUUUGGGAACAAGGUGUGCGCGUUAACUGCGCGUGCAUUGAUAGUACCAGAAGAGGAAGAGACGGCUAACUCUGUGCCAGCAGCCGCGGUAAUACAGAGGUCUCAAGCGUUGUUCGGAUUCAUUGGGCGUAAAGGGUGCGUAGGCGGCGUGGUAAGUCGGGUGUGAAAUCUCGGAGCUUAACUCCGAAACUGCAUUCGAUACUGCCGUGCUUGAGGACUGGAGAGGAGACUGGAAUUUACGGUGUAGCGGUGAAAUGCGUAGAUAUCGUAAGGAAGACCAGUGGCGAAGGCGGGUCUCUGGACAGUUCCUGACGCUGAGGCACGAAGGCCAGGGGAGCAAACGGGAUUAGAUACCCCAGUAGUCC
rnacentral:rRNA from 1 species